CUACAAGUGUGACAUCAGCGCUCAUGGAGAGUCUCCAUCCAGCUGGAUCACUGUCACAGAGAGAAACACCACCACACCUCCUUCUACAUCCACACCUCCUCCUGUUUCCACCUCCAUCACUCGUCCUCCUGUUCUCUAUGUGUUGUAUUGUGUUGGAUCAGUCUGUGUUUUGGUUCUACUGGUGUUACUGGUUCUGCUGGUGAGACGAUGUGUUCGCAGGAAACUUGAAGGUGAGACUUCCUGAAUUUACAAGUGUAUAUAUGUUCCAUUCUGUAUACAUGCAUAGUAUAAUUGUUUUUUUAUAUAGCAUUUUAAAAACAACACGAGACCAACCAAAGUGUACAGCAGAAAUAAAAAAGUACAUUAAUAAAUAAAAUAAAUAAAUAGCAAUAAAACAACAGUGUCACUUACCCACGGAGUCAAAAGCCAGCAAAUAGAAAAAUGGUUUUUAACCUGGAUUUAAAGACCACCACUAAAACAGAUGUGAAAAGGGAGAUCAUUCCAAAGCUUAGAGAAGCAACAACAUCAAGAACAGAUUUACAUAGUCCAUGUCACGGCCGAGGCCGAACCCGACAACCAGACUUAAAUGCAGAUCAUACACAGAGCCAAGGAUGAGUGUAGUUAACAGAACUUUAUUUUCUAGGGCUUGACAAAUACUGUGUCCUAUGAGAAAUAACAUGGGACUUCAAUUACGGUGGUAAACAGGAGUGAUGCUAAACUCUGAGAAAUAGUAGAUUUACAAAAGCACCAGAGGAUUGUGACGAGGGGAUAUGUACAGGGGUACGGGGCAGGAAACAUGACCUGGAGGCUCUGAACAUUUGGCAGGUGGAGGAAUGGUAAGGAAGGGGUGAGUGGUCCGAGUGAGGAGUUUUGGCCCAAUUGAGUACUGUGACAGGAGGGCAAGCAGGUGAGUGAACACAAAGAGCUGCCAAGCACAAACCAGCUUCAGGAUAAAAGUGUGUAUUGCCAGGAGAUGGAGGUGGCAGACAACAGGAUAGUGUGGUUAGCUGAAGACUUGGCGAAGAGGAAGAGGACUGGUGAGCGCUGGUCUUAAGUACUGGCAGCUCAAUUGGCAGCAGGUGUGGAGACAUGCAGGAAAGCAGCAACUCUGCCCAGGGGUGGAACUGUGACUGAGUGGAAAAACCCAAGGACUCACCCAGACCACAACAGUCCAGAUGAAAGAGUAAUCCAUCUGAGGUGGACAACUUAGAACGACUGGAUACAAGUUGAUCGAACAGUGUAGAAAAAUGCUCUGCUGUAUUUGAGCCGAAGCCUCAACAGCGUUGGACAGGUGCAACCUGUUUAAGAGCAGCACCAAGAGCAACAUGGAGCAAACCAAGUGCUUUUAAAUGUCCCAAAGACAUUUUAUAAAUCCAGAGGAGCGAGUGUCUGGAGGUCAGGCAGGCUCCAUCCCUUGCUGUUUUCAAAACUCGUUUAAAAACAUCUCUUCUCCUUGGGUUUUAACCUAAUUUGGGUCGUGAUCUGUGUUAAACAUUUUACCCUUUGUAUAUUAUAUUUUGUACAGCACUUUGGUAAGCUAUAAUGUUGUUUUUGAAGGGCUUUAGAAAUAUAGUGAAAGUGAUAAAUACAAUGGGCAUGUCAGACGUCAGAGAACUGAGAUUAAAAAAAAAAAUCAUUAUAUUUAGGAGGCAGUUAAACCACUGCACACAGCAGCGAGUGGACCAGUUCACACAAACAAAGUUCAAAGGUGGUGUAGCAUCUUCUUGACGAUAGCUGCUUAAAGGCGAAGUGUGCUUUAAAAGCAACAGCUAACCCUCCGGCACAAACAGAUCUCGGAGCGCUAAAAUAAGCACAGCUAGCUGGCAGUAGUUAAGAACAGGAGCACAUUUCUGUCAGACAGAGGAAAUCCAAUGCAAGAAAAGACAUUUUCAUUUGCCACCGAUCUGACAUUUAUUAAACCCAACCUGAGGUGAGCUGGGUCGGAGACUUUCCUGCAGCAACAACCUGAGCCACAGGUCGAAUGUUGGAUUAACUCGCUCCUCACCAACACAAAUGGCGAAGAGGCAGGGAUUGAAGAGGGCUCCUCUUGAUAGAGCCAACAAAGGGAACCAACCAGGAGUCCACAGGGUCCACGCCAUGGCACCAGGAUUCAUGGAAAAGAUUGGUGAAUGAAGUGAAGACCAUUGGGAAGGCAAGAAAUCUAGAGUCUCAGCUUAGCGAGGUGACCUCCAAAGGUACCCUGUCUCCUGCGUCGCUUGCACGUAGAUGGUGGCAGUGGAAGGCGAAUCCAGCACAAUGGUAUUGCUUCCAGAUGAGGAGGCAGAGAAUCUUGGCUACCUUUGUUAAGCAGAGAUAAAACUUUGGGCCAUGAACCUAUUUUCAGUGUCCGGCAAUCACAAGACAGUGUGGAACUGAGAUGUUGUACAACGAGAGAGCGGUAGAUGGCGUGCCAACCACAGGUGCCAUCUUGAAUCACACCAAUAACAACAAUUUUUACAAUACAUUAAAAUGUAGGAAUGUUGACAAUUUUUUUUCUUGAGUAAAUUUCGAAUGACAACUUUUACAGAAAUUGACCGUAAAUUUGGUUCAUUUCAGCAGAAGAAAACAUGACAUACUGCAACAUCGAAACAUCACACUGUCAAAAACAACCAAUCAAGAAAUGCAGAGGGAGUGAUCCAGCGGCAGUUUACUCAAACUGGUGAGAUCACUUAUGAAGAAAUCAUGGUGAAAGAAAGCCAAAUUAAACACUUUAAACCAGAGCCAGACGUCGUCUACUCUUCACUGAUGUAGUCCACCAGUCCAACCACUGACGUCCAGCUGCUGGUCUCUAACUGGUUCCCCCAGCACCUCAGACCAGAGGACAUCCACAUGUUCAAAAGAUUACUCUAUGUGUUUUACAUAUUUUUUUCCACUUAUUUAGACUCAUAUGCUUUAAAAAUUGCAUAGGUUUAACUGGAAUUUUGUUAGUACUUAAAAUAAACAAUGAUAAUAAAGUCACUCUAUGAGUUUGACACUUUGUUCUGUUUCCCAUACCAGUGAUUUUGUUUCACUGUAGGAUUAAUAAACUUUUGUUCACA